rnacentral:rRNA from 1 species
CUUGGCAACCAUAGCGAGAUGGAACCACCUGAUCCCAUACCGAACUCAGAAGUGAAACGUUUUAGCGCCGAUGGUAGUGUGGGGUCUCCCCAUGUGAGAGUAGGUCAUUGCCAAGC